AUGGCUUCCCGGCGUGCACUUGUGCUCCUCGCCGUCGUCGCCUCGCUAUGCCGCGCGGCGGUUGGUCAGCGUGCCAAGCCCCUGCUGCCGGGCGGGCCAAGCUGCUCAACUGCUGAUAACUACACCGACGGCAGCCCGUACAAGAAGAACCUCGACGAGCUCCUCGCCGGCCUCCCCGCGGCCGCCGGGGGUAAUGGCUGGUUCUACAACGGCACGGCUGGGGCGCCGGGGACGGCAGACCAGGUCUUCGGCCUCAUCAUGUGCUACGCCGACCGCAACGCAACGCAGUGCCGGGAGUGCCUGGCCGGCGCUCCCGCGGGGAUCACCACGGCGUGCCCGGGGAGCCGGAACGUGCGUGCGGCCUACGACGCGUGCGUGCUCCGGUACUCGCCGCCGCCCUCCUUCUUCUCCACCGCCGACCUCGCCGUGAAUUUCCAGGUGCGCGCCAUCGCCUUCGCCGUUGACCCGGACAAGAUGCUCAACGCGUGGCUCACGCUCAUGACCGACCUCACGGGGCGCGCCGCGAGCUCGCCGUCGCGGGUGGCGAACGCGACCACGCCGUACGACGGCGACCCGGCGAUGUUGGUGUACGGGCUGGCGCAGUGCACCAGGGACCUCAACGCCACCGAGUGCACCAGGUGCCUUGUCUCGAUGGUCGGCCAGCUCCGGAGGCGUUUCACGAACGAGACCGGCGGCGCAAUCAAGGCGUUCAGCUGCUAUGUCAGGUACGAGCUUGGUGCUUUCGACAUCACCCUCCCGCCUGAGCCGCCGCAGCCGCCCCCGCCGCCGUCGUCUCCACGGCCGGGAGGAUCAUCGUCUUCCUCAAGAACAGCGCUGGCGGUCGGCCUCUCCGUCGGUUCUGCAGCGCUGUUGGUCAUUCUGGGCUCCUUGAUCUGCCUCUCUCUACGGCGGCGACGGAGGAAGCGACAGCAGGAAAGGGAGCGGCAGCUGGAAGAGGGCAGCUUCUUCGACGGCGACGACCCGGCCAUGGAAGAUGACUUCGAGAAAGGGACCGGGCCGAAGCGGUUUCGCUACGGCGAGCUGGCCAUCGCCACCGACAACUUCUCCGACGAGAAGAAGCUCGGGGAAGGAGGCUUCGGCUCGGUGUACAGAGGACGCCUCAAAGAAAUGAAGCUGGAUGUGGCCAUCAAGAGAGUCUCCAAAGGGUCCAAGCAGGGGAGGAAGGAGUACGCCUCGGAGGUGCGGAUCAUAAGCCGGCUCCGGCACCGGAACCUGGUGCAGCUCAUCGGCUGGUGCCACGGCGGCGGCGAGCUGCUCCUCGUCUACGAGCUGAUGCCCAACGGCAGCCUCGACACGCACCUCUACGGCCGCAGCAACGCCGCCGUGCUCCCAUGGCCGGUCAGGCAGGAGAUCGUGCUGGGACUGGGCUCUGCUCUCCUGUACCUUCACCAGGAGUGGGAGCAGUGCGUCCUGCACAGGGACAUCAAGCCAAGCAACGUCAUGCUGGACGCCUCCUUCGCCGCCAAGCUCGGCGACUUCGGGCUGGCCAGGCUCGUCGACCAUGGCCGAGGGUCGCACACCACGGUGCUCGCCGGCACCAUGGGAUACAUGGACCCGGAAUGCAUGAUCACCGGCAAGACCAACGCCGAGUCUGAUGUCUACAGCCUCGGCGUCGUCCUCCUUGAGAUCGCCUGCGGCAGGCGCCCUCUGGUGGUUAUAGCUGAGCACGAGGACGACACGAUGCACCUGACUCAGUGGGUCUGGGAUUGGUACGGCAGGGGAAGGAUCCUCGACGCCGCCGACGAGCGGCUGCAGGGAGAAUUCAACGGGAAGGAGAUGGAGUGCGUGAUGGUCGUCGGGCUCUGGUGCGCCCACCCUGAUCGGAGCCUGAGGCCGACGAUCAGGCAGGCCGUCAACGCGCUGCGGUUCGAGGCGCCGCUGCCCAGCCUCCCGUCAAGGAUGCCGGUGGCGACCUUCAUGCCGCAGGUCGGCACUUUCACUACAUCUUCGGCUGCCACAGGCGGCACCAGCAGCACUGUCACAUCUUCAGUUGCAACAGGCGUCGGCAGCAGCACUGGCACUUCUUCAGUUGCAACGGGCGUCAGCAGCAGUAGCAUCCUAACAGCAAGCUCGACUGAGACAUCCUCCCUGCUGAAAUGA
rnacentral:rRNA from 1 species